rnacentral:lncRNA from 1 species
CUAUUUUGAGCAUAUUUUACUCGGGCAAGGGCUUGGAUGCAAGGGCAAAGCCUUGGUCUUGGUUUGCAAGAGCAAGCUUGCCCUUGCCUUACCAGAAGGUCAAGGGCAGGGGCAAGCUUCAAGGCAAGGGCAAGCUUCAAGGGCAAGUUUUAAAAGCAAGGGCUUCAAGGGCUUGUCUUGCCCUUGCCGCUUCUUGCAUAGAAUGUGCACAUCCAGUUCCUCUGCUUGUCAAGAAGCACAGGUACUACAAGGUCGCCAGGAUGGCAAUAGUCGUUCCAGAUCAAGUCCUCAUUCUCCACUUCUAAAUAACUGAUUUGUGAUGUCAUUUCUAAACUUUUGUUUUUGGAACAUUCCAAGAUAUUGUCGAAGAUUUUGACAGAAUGUUCAUUUUGUGGGUUCUUGACGAGCUUUCCAAUCUUAUCUCCCUGGAUCUCAGCUCGAAGCAGCAGCAGAUGCACUGGAGCCAAGAGCUGGAAAUCGGGCGUUUCUAGAUUAUGGUGAGUCAAUUGACUGACUGGUUCUGGUUUGCUUCAAAAUGCAGGCCUCAAUGUUCAAGCUUGAGUAUGGUGUUUCUGCAAAUGCAAGUUGUUUGUUGAACUGAUUUGGAGAUGAGAGAUCAAGGGCUUAGAUGCAAAAGUGAUUAGGGCAGGAACAAGCAAGGCAAGGCAGGAAGCAGUGCCCUUUCUUGCGCUUCCAAGGGCAAAGUCAGUUUUUUUCUGUCUUCCCCUAACUUGCUCUAUGUUAAGCCCUAGGGUUAGCAUCAUGUUAACCCACGUUAAGGUGUUAAAUAGAGGGGUUAGUCCCUUAGUAGGGUGAUUGCUCGAGCGAAAAUGGUAAGCUUUUACAAAAUUUUAGGUUCAGGGAUUGAGAGGACGACGGUGCUAGAGACGGUACUCGGGGGGAUCGUUCGGCGAUCACAGUUGGGUGGUAGACUGUAUGUUUGUCUUGGGGCUUAACAGUGGUAUCAGAGACGACCUGCAGCACAAAAAGCUUUUCUCCAAAAAGGUAAGCAGUUUUUGUUUUUGCAGUUGAAGCUCAAUGGUGGCGAGGUAUCGUUCGGCUGAGCAUGAGGAGGAUUGUGUUCAGUUGAGUGACUGUGAGGGUGAUGCUGAUUACAUGGACUAUGCCGUUCCUGAGGAGGAGGUGCAUGCCCUAACCCCGAGUGAUAUCGUGCAUGAGUUCAAGGUUAUCCAUCAGAACAUGGAUGAUCUGGUGAGCGAGUGGCAGGCCUUUAAAGAAAGCCCUAGAAGUCAGCGUAGGUCGCAUGGUUCUUGUAACCUUGAGAAGCUGAAGGUUCCUGAGUUCUCUGGAUUAAGACUGCUGCUGAGGCCAUGAGUUGGCUGCAGAAGGCAUUCCUUUUGCUGGAGGCUAAGGGAUCGAGCGAAGCAGAGUCGUUAGUCGAGCUCGUGUGUGAGCUCUUGGAGGUUAAACGGCAGGUCGAAGAGCUUCUUGCACUUGGUUUUAUCUGGCCGAGUAAGUCUCUUUAUGGAGCACCAGUUUUGUUGGUUCGUAAGAAGGAUUUGGCUCAGCUCUACAUUGAACGAGUUUAUCCUUUGUUCGGUAUGCCUAAGGAUGUCAUGAGUGGUCGAGAUUCCAUAUCCAUCAGUGUGUUCUGGACGAAUUUCUCUAAAGGCAUUGGAACUCAGUUGAAGAUGAGCAGUGGUGAUCAUCCUCAAACUGAUGGUCAGACUGAGAAAGUCAACCAAGUGUUGGAGGAUAUGUUACAGUGUACUGUGGGCAACAAACAAAGCCAGUGGGAUAAGUCUUUGCCGUUAGCGGAGUUUGCCUACAACAACAAUGUACACAACAGUUCUAAGGUUAGUCCUUUCUAUGCUAUGUUCUCUAGGCAUCCGAGAAUGCCUAUUGACAUUGGACGUGAGUUCGUUGAUGUUCAUACUGGAAGUUUGGUGGCUGAGAUGCAAGAAAUUCUUACCGUGUGUCGGCAGAACUUAUUGAAGGCUCAAGAUCGAGCAAUGAAGGAUGCUAAUGAACAUCGGACAUUUAAGGAAUUUCAUGUGGGAGAUAAAGUCUAUGUGCGAGUGAUCUUCUCAAUCAACGAUACGAGGGCAACUUCUUCUCUAAGUACAGGUAAAUGUGAUAAACUUUCACCCCGUUUUGCAGGUCCUCAUGAGAUUUCGAAGAGGAUCAACUCUGUUGCUUAUGAGUUGAUUUUGCCACGUGGAUCUCGUGUGCAUCCAGUUUUCCACGUCAGUCAGCUGAGGCAAGUGCUGCUUCGUCAGGCGAUGUUGGUUCCAUCUCUCGAACAAGCUACUGACAAUAACAAUGAGGUUGAGCUUGGCUCAAAACCUCAGGAGAUGGAGUGUGGCUCUGUCUCAGCGUCCGACCCUGAAGAUACUCCCCGAUGAUCAAAACAAGCUCGUAUACCUUCACGAAGGUAUUCACCGUGAGGCGGUUAAGUUUUGUGUGGCAAAACGAACAUCGUGUGGCGAUAAGAUCCUGGAGAUCAUCGUGUGGAGGAAUGUUAAACCCUAGGGUUAACAUCAUGUUAACCCACGUUAAGCUGUGUUAAAUAGAGGGGUUGGUACAAAAUUUUAGGUUCAGGGAUUGAGAUGACGACUCAGGGGGAUCGUUCGGUGAUCACGGUUGGGUGGUGAAUCGAGCACCUAGACUGUGUGUUUGUCUUGGGGCUUAACAAUCUAGCUUGCAAGCCAGAGUGUGUUAAAUAGAGGGGUUGGUACAAAAUUUUAGGUUCAGGGAUUGAGAUGACGACUCAGGGGGAUCGUUCGGUGAUCACGGUUGGGUGGUGAAUCGAGCACCUAGACUGUGUGUUUGUCUUGGGGCUUAACAAUCUAGCUUGCAAGCUCAAGCUUUUGCGUCAGAUCCACAGCUCUAGAAAACCCAUUGCAAAGAUUGCAGCUUUCCAAGAUGCAUGGAAGAACAUCGGGGCCUGGAAGCUUUGUCUAAGAGGAGACGCAGUCGAAGGUUGAGAACCUGUUUGCUUGCAAGAAGCAGCUGCUAGUUACGACCAAGGGAUCAAGUGAACUAGACUUGAGCGGUAAGACAGGUCACAAUACAAUCCAUGUUUUAAUUGUCCUGACCUGGCAUAGCAAGCGCUUGUUUUCCAGACUUUGUCUUUGUUGUAGUGUAUAUAUUCAAGACUCCCAAUUCUUUACCUUGACUAUGUCAUUCCAGUGAAAAUAUCCUAGUUUUUAAAGUCUCGGUGUCAAUGCAACUUAAGUUACUUAAGUUGAACUUAAGUCUUGGUGUGCAAUUGCUCUUUAGCACAUUGUUUUCAUUGAUUUUGUUCAUUGGGCAACAGCACAGUGCAUCAUACUUCUGCCUCUGCUUUCAUACCUUUUACCAAUAAUAUCAUUUUGCAAUCUGGCAUUCCCAAAAGGAGAUCACCAUAAUCACUUGUACUUUCAUUUUUCAUACUGUUUUGAAUUUUCUUAAAAUUAAUUUAUUAUUCAUGAGCACAAUAUUCAAAUUACACAACAUUAUAGUAAUGUUUGUUUCAAACAAUAAUGACAAUAAUCUUCCCAGGCAUUUUCUAAGUGUAAAUCACUCAGUGUUCAUCAACCUUGUCAACCUCGUUCAUCAAAGAAACACAUCUUUCUAUUUACCAAAGGAAAUAAUAAAUCACUUGAUUGAGUUAUUUCUUGAUUACGCAGACUACAAAGCUAGCCUCAUGCCAGGCCUGGGAAUUUGACUGAAGCAAGUUUCCAUGAAGACGAUCGUGUAAACCUGCUAAAAUUAAGAAAGUUGGAUCAUGUAAGAUCUACAUCUUGGCCAUUUGUUUUUGUAAAUGAUGACUAAAUGGCCUUUUUGUGAUUGUUGCAGACCACCAUCCCAAAACCUGUUUCAGAAGCUAUCUCCAAGACCAUCUCAGAAGCCAUUGAGUCUCAUGUUGAAGAAGUGGGGAUCAAAGUGUUUAGAUUCCAGUGACGCUGACCAAGACAAGUGAAUUGAAGGAACGGUUUUGCCCUGAAAACUUAUUACAACCCACAUACAAUAAACAUAAUUUCAAAUUAUGAUAGAAACCACUUGAACCCACACCGUGCAGAAAGUAGAUUUACUCAUCAAACUUAAAAACUACUCCGAACACCAUAUAAAAAGCCACCAAAAUCACAUUUACCUGAUCAAAUACUGGACCUAAUAGUACAUGCUGCAAAUUAUUUCUGAAACCAGUUAUCUGGCUUUUUUUGGUGGUGUCAUGGGAUGGGAUCGGUUUCUCCCAGUGUGCUGUCAAUCAGCCUCGUUGGUGAUGGCCCCUUUUGGUUAUUAUAAAUUGUUAUUAUAUUACCAUGGGUAAAAAUAAAACUCCCCUGAGGAUGCUAUAAGUGGCUCUGUAGUUAUUUAGCAGCACUAGUGGCUCUCUAGUUAUUUAGCAGCACUAAUAUAGUGAUUUUUCUAAAUCAUGAGAAAGUGGACACAUCUUGAUAGUUAUAGGUCCCAUUUGGCUCAAGGUUCCAUAUGAAACUCAAGUAGCUUUCAUUGAUAUCAUAUACAAAAUCUAACAAAUAAGUGAACUUGGUCCUUAUAGUGGUCUACCAAUCUCCUUCCUGCUCCAAGUUUUUUUCUAUUGUCACUUUCAUUUUUUUCCUUUCUAAUAAUUAAUCCAUUGCUAUAUGCAAAAAGAGCACUAGCUCCAUCCCACUCAUGAAAUUCUGCUAGAAAACAUAAAGCUAAACCAUGCCAGCAGCACAUUAUCAUGGAGCAAAAGUAAGCAACUUGAGAAACUAGAGCAAUGGAAUGAAUUAUGGUUCUUUGAGAUCCUCAGUGAUCCUAGGAUGGACAUUCCAGCUAACCUAUAAAACAUAAAAAGACUUUUGAAUGAUUAACACCUGGAUCUAUAUAAUGUUUUGAGAGGAUUCAUCAACUUGCAUAUAAAGACUGUCUUAGAGCUUACUAGGCAUUGGAUUACAUCUAGAGGCUCGUCUUGCAACUUCUACUAUCCAAUCUCCUUUGCAAGUCUACUACUUUAUUUUUUAUUUCACCAAAGAGUUUGGAGCAUAUGAAAUCAACUUUGCAUUUAGAAACAUCAUCCUAAGUUUCAAGACUCGAACCUUGAGACUUAGGAAUAGGAAGAAGUGGAGGUUGCCACUACAUAGGACUAACUAAGGGGGUGAAUUAGUCUCUUCGAAGAAACUUGUUGAAAGUUUGUCAAACUAUAUCUUUAUCUUUUUUGUACUCUAGCAUUCUAUCAUCAAUGCAUAUCUAUAUGCUCAAAAUCUAAAGUACUCAAGUGAUGUUAACCUUGCCUUUGAUCACGAUCUCGACAAAGGCCUUCUUGGGGAUUGAAAGACUCAACUCACUCUUCUCUUUCAUUUUCUGUGUGAUUGUUUAUAUCUAGUUGAAUUAGAGUGUAAAAUCAAGUCAAGCAAGUACAGUAGUAAGUCCACUCCACUCUUCCCUUUUUUUCUCUUCCUAAUUUAUCUUUUGUUUAUUUCUUUCUUUCACACUUAGGUUUUUAGGCCCACAAAACAACAAAGUUUUCACUGACAACCAUAGUGGGAUAUGAGGUAUUGCAAGACAAAAUGGAUUGUUAGUAAGAGAUUUCAAGAAAAAUAAAAAGAAGUAAAAAAAUAUAGAAAAUAAAGAAAUCUUGAAGAUCAUGAAGAAUUUUGAUAGAAAAAGAGUUACCUAAUUUGAUUGGAGAUGACAAAGAUCUACUCCAUAACUCUUUUCUAAACUUAAAGCAAUUACAAUUGAUUUAGGAUAAAGACUCAAGGUUUUGAUAGUCAAAAAAAGAUUUUAAUAUUUUUUUAAAAAAAUUUUUGACAUUCAAGAUUUAACAAAAUCAAGAAAGAUUUCUUUAACACUGAAGAAAGACUUCAACAAAUGUAAAAGAUUGAUGAAACAACACAAUUAUCCCUUUUAUUAAAAAUGUACAAGAUAUAAAAAUUAUCUUUUUAAUAGCUUUUAAAAUGACACUAAACCCUGAAAUAGUGUGGUUAUUGUAUUGUAAAAAAGACUACUCUAAAAAUUAAAGAUUAAGAAAAGGCUAACAAAAAAGUCAACAAGAAGGAAAAUAAAGUAGAAUAAAAAUAUGUACAAGGAAAAUUACAUUUUGUUUGAUAAUUAUGCAAGAAUCUAAAGCUUGACUUAGAUUUAUUCAAGUUAUAUUUUCUUCCACACUUUCAUUAAUUUCUUAAGAACACAUAAACAAGAAAAACUUAUACUAAUCAUAUUAGUUUUUUAAAAUAAAAUUUUCCGAGUGUUAACUACAACUAAGAUUAGGGUGUAAAUAACCAAAAGAAAUGAUUUAAGAGAUGAUUUAUGAAGUUUAAAUAUAAAGGGAAAAGGCCCAUGAACAAAAAUGCACCCUUUCUCCCUAUUAGUUAAAGGUUUUAAGAUACUUGGGGUUAAAUAUAUUGAAGUUUAAAUAGUAUUGGGUUAAAUGACUUCCUGGGAAGCCUAAAUCCAAGAGUUUACAUUUGAUAUCAAAGAAAGUCUUCAGUUUAACUCUGUAGUUGGCUAAAGGAAUCAUAUCAUAUGUUAAUUGAUAUUUGGUAGGUUUAGUUUGCUUUGGCUGGGCUCAACCCGAGGAGUAUAGUGUCAAGAGAAUGAAGUUGUGGCUCUUAGCUUCCAUUCACGAAAACAUAAACUUGUAGGGAAGCAUGGUGAAUGGUAAGUAACUAAAAAGAACGAUUUAAGAGACGAUCCAUAAAGCCCAUGAAUAAAAGUGCACCCUUAAUUGGUUAAAGAUCUUGGGAUACUUGGGGUUAAACGUCUUAUAAUUUAAAUAGUACAAGUGAUUUCCUAGGAAAUCCAAAUCCAAGAGCUUACAUAAGGUUGUAAAUUUAUCAACUUAUUGUAGGAUAAAGAUCUUGACACUCAAGAAAAUGCAAUGAUAUUACUUCAAUUACUACAACGUCCAACAACACUUACUCAAGUUCAUGACUACACACAUCGAAAUAUAGCAAUACAUAUAAAUGAAACUAGAGACUAGAGACUAUGCCAUGAAUUAACAUCAACAAGAAAUCUUAAGGCUAGAAAACCUAUUAUAAAUGAAAAAUCCUAACUUUAUCUUCCACCACAUCUGAGAGUUCUAUCACACUUGAGGGCUCAACCACAAUAAAUAAAAAUACAAAUUCCAAGAUAACCAUCAUAUUUACAAAUAUGAAAACAACCUCGAAUUUAAGCUUAUAUAUAAAUUUGAAGAGCUUAACCUGAAGAUCUGAUUCAAAGCACCAAAAUUCCAAUUACUGUCACUCAGAUCGAUGUAAAAGAUACUAACUCUCAAGUUUACAAACAAAUCUAACAUAUUGAUAUUAAUGCAAUAACACUAAUCUAAUUCAUCACCGAAAUCCCCGUGACUAGACUACAAAACUAAUCCACAUUCAUCAUCAAGAUAAUUCCAAGAGAAGUUUAAAAAAUUAUCAAAGCUUUACAACAAAAAACUUAAGAAGUACAAGAUUACAAAGGACAACAACACAAUAAAAUUAGAAGAAAAAGAUGCGAGAAUUGAAGAAAUUACAACUAUGAUAUUCGUUGUCUUUGAAUGCAGGAUACAAAAAGACUCAUGAGGGCACUCAAGGAACUCCCUCUUAAGAUUCAAGAAAGAAUCUUCAACUUAAUCUACAACAAUAAAAAAAAAAAAACCACACAUCAAUAUAUUCAAGAAUCAUCAUCCAUUGAUUCAAGAAUCAUCAUCCAUUGUGAAAAAUUUGUAGAAAAACAAAAUAAGAUAGAGCUUUACAUAUGGACACUCAUCCUUGAGUUUUCUUGGA